CCUACGGGGGGCAGCAGUGGGGAAUAUUGCACAAUGGGCGCAAGCCUGAUGCAGCCAUGCCGCGUGUGUGAAGAAGGCCUUCGGGUUGUAAAGCACUUUCAGCGGGGAGGAAGGCGGUGAGGUUAAUAACCUCAUCGAUUGACGUUACCCGCAGAAGAAGCACCGGCUAACUCCGUGCCAGCAGCCGCGGUAAUACGGAGGGUGCAAGCGUUAAUCGGAAUUACUGGGCGUAAAGCGCACGCAGGCGGUCUGUCAAGUCGGAUGUGAAAUCCCCGGGCUCAACCUGGGAACUGCAUUCGAAACUGGCAGGUUAGAGUCUUGUAGAGGGGGGUAGAAUUCCAGGUGUAGCGGUGAAAUGCGUAGAGAUCUGGAGGAAUACCGGUGGCGAAGGCGGCCCCCUGGACAAAGACUGACGCUCAGGUGCGAAAGCGUGGGGAGCAAACAGGAUUAGAUACCCCAGUAGUC
rnacentral:rRNA from 1 species